rnacentral:rRNA from 1 species
UAAAAACAUGUCUGUGUGUAUGUGUACACAGUCUGACCUGCCCACUGAGUUUUAAAGGGCCGCGGUAAUUUGACCGUGCGAAGGUAGCAUAAUCAUUAGUCUUUUAAUUGAAGGCUGGAAUGAAUGGUUGGAUGAGGGAGAGACUGUCUUUCUCUUAGUUGUGAAUUUAACUUUUGAGUGAAAAGGCUCAAAUUGGGUGGUGGGACGAUAAGACCCUAUAAAACUUUAUACAGUAAGUAUUACUAAAUUAAUUAUAAAGUAGACAUUAUACGUACUAGCUGUAUUGUGCUGGGGCGGCAUAGAUAUAACAAUUAACUGUCUUAAUCAUAAAAUAACUCUAGUUAGUGUUUGAUCCUCUAGUAGGGAUUAGAAGUCUAAGUUACUUUAGGGAUAACAGCGUAAUUUUCUUUGAGAGUCCAAAUCGACAAGAUAAGUUGCGACCUCGAUGUUGAAUUAAAAUUUUUAGUUGGGUGCAGCCGCUCAUACUGUUAGGUCUGUUCGACCUUUAAAAUUUUACAUGAUUUGAGUUCAGACCGGCGUGAGCCAGGUG